CCCCCGCCAUGGCUGUUGGAGCUGGCUCCAGCCACCGAAAUUUGUGUUAAUCCUCUAGAAUGUAGACAUCCUUCAUCUUCGCUUUGGAAUAAAAAGAGAAAAUCUUGCAGUGCUACUCGGGAGUUCAUACAGGGAAUUUUGCCCCGAGGUGAUGCUGAUUUUAAAUCAAGCGAUUUUGUGAUUGCACCAACUUUGAAUCAACAAUAUAAGAUUCCCCACAUAGUAGAAGAAAUUCAUAGCG